CGUAGGGUGCAAGCGUUGUUCGGAAUUACUGGGCGUAAAGCGCGCGUAGGCGGGUUUGUAUGUCGAUUGUGAAAGCCCUGGGCUUAACCUGGGAAUGGCAGUCGAAACUGCAAAUCUUGAAUGCCUGAGAGGAUGGCGGAAUUCCCGGUGUAGAAGUGAAAUUCGUAGAUAUCGGGAAGAACACCUGAGGCGAAGGCGGCUAUCUGGCGGUGCAUUGACGCUGAGGCGCGAAAGCGUGGGGAGCAAACAGGAUUAGAUACCCUGGUAGUCCACGCCGUAAACUAUGGAUACUAGGUGUCCGGGAUGUUAACCUCCUGGGUACCGAAGCUCACGCAUUAAGUAUCCCGCCUGGGGAUACGGUCGCAAGACCU
rnacentral:rRNA from 1 species